GGGUUUACCCAUUGGUCAGGCUUAAUUGUCUGUACUGGUGAGAUAAAUCUCUACCUUCUGAGGAACUUUCAUGCCAUUAAUUUGGUGUGAUUGGAAAUCAGGACUGUUACUUUGAAAAAAUUAGUGUGUUUAAAGCAGGCUCACGCUUGAAUACAUUAGCAUGGAAUAAUGAAAUAGGACGUUUGAUUCUAUUUUGUUGGUUUCUAGGAUCGACGUA
rnacentral:rRNA from 1 species